CAGUGAGUGAAGGGACAAGAGUUGGAGGGCGUCUAUCCAGAUCAUCUCUCUUCACAGGAGGGGUCAUUUGGCUCAUUGUCCAGUAAAGGGCAACCUACUCCAGGCUGAAAAGAACAUCUUUCCUCUUCCCUCCAGGAAGUAGAGCCAGUUAACCAACAUGGCAGAAAGUAAGUGUGAAAGCCUUUGCGAACCAGCGUGUUGACAGCAAUAGACUUGGAUGCAAAAUCUUGUUUCUGAAACCUUCCUGUCUCCUGCUUUUGACCUGAACUCCUCGGUGACUGUAAGAACUCUCUAGAAGCC
rnacentral:lncRNA from 1 species